rnacentral:rRNA from 1 species
AGAAUCAACGCUGGCGGCGUGCCUAACACAUGCAAGUCGAACGAGAAAGUGGAGCAAUCCAUGAGUAAAGUGGCGCACGGGUGAGUAACACGUGACUAACCUACCCUUGAGUGGGGGAUAACCUAGAGAAAUCUGGGCUAAUACCGCAUAAUACCUUCGAGUCAAAGGAGCAAUUCGCUUAAGGAGGGGGUCGCGGCCGAUUAGUUAGUUGGCGGGGUAAUGGCCCACCAAGACUGUGAUCGGUA